rnacentral:lncRNA from 1 species
GGGCAUUACAGUGCGCUGGUGGCACUCACUCUGCCUUUCGUGAAGGAGGCCACGAUGAACAGCUGGAGUCGGAAUCACCGUUCUGCCUUCUUCCUGUUCUCAGCAGACGCACACGGCGCCGAGGGGGUGCUCUGUGAGGCCCCUGGAGGGGCAGUUACUUGGGCUUCUCAGAGAGAACCUGGCAGCUCUUUGCUGAAACCCGAUACUCCAGGCUCCCAGGGCCGGGUGGCCAAGAUGCUGUGCAGCACGGGUCACCUGCUCCUGGUCCUCCCACUGCCUGGAUGGUUGCUCCGUGUUUUUAUAAAGAACAUCAC